CUAAUUCUUAUGCACCAAUGGAAAUUUCAUCCACUCCAAAAAAAAAACAAAAAAAAACAAAUUGAUUUAAAAGAGAAACAGAAGCACUGUUUCAUGAGGCUACUUAAAAAUCUGAUCUGUUUUUAAACUGUUGAUAGUCCUCAGUGUCUGAGGGUCCCAUUGGAAAACAAAUCUCGCCACCACAGCGAAGGUCAUCCCUGGAGGGGGACCAUGAAAACAUUGUUGACAACAAGGCAAAGACAACAGCAACCCCACAGGAUCAACUCACCUCUUUGUGGAAAAGGAGAGACACUGAGGUUGUGGUUUCUGUGAUCCCUACACAAACCAAAGUAACAUCAUUUAUCAUUCAUCACAGUGAACUGUGUACACUUCGGCCACACCAGUGGCUAAAUGGCGAGAUAAUUGAAGCCCUGUUUCAUAUUGCUGCCAGUGAGCUAGAGAUCGGGAAUUCCAUUUACAUUCUUAAUCACUACGUAGCAGGUGUGAUUCUGUUUGGGGAAAAACCUCAGCUCCCCGGCAAAAAUUGUCAAAGAUUAACUUGAACAAUUACCAGGGAAUUGUUUCUUUUGUGAACAUUGACAAUGUCCAUUGGAAGUUUCUGUUGAGUAGGUGAAUAACUUCAUUUUAUCAUUACCAAAUCUGGAUCUACUCAGUAUUAGUAGCUGUUGUUUCACCUUAUCAUUUUCAGUUCAUAAAUGCGGUCAACCACACAGUGUACCUGGUAGACCCAUCAAAAAGUCCCACAGAGAAAGAUGACUCAAUUCAUGCUGCCCAAAAACUCAGUGAGUACAUACAAAUGAGGAAUACUCAACAAAGAAAAACAGAGUGGCUGAAUAUACAGUGGAAAGGAGGAGUUAUGACGCAUCCAGUCCAGCAGGAUGGCAGUAGCUGUGGCGUCAUUGUUGUCUUGUUUGCAACUUCCAGAAAGGAAAUGGCCAAUGAACGAAAAAUGAUGGCUCUACAGAUACUCAAAGCAUCAGUGUUCGAUGAAGCCGAAAACUGUUCCAUGUGUUCCCUUAAAAAGCCUACUGGAUCUGUGCAUCGUUUCAUAAAUUGGAUCCAAUGUGACACAUGUGAAAGGUGGUACCAUGAAAAGUGCCUGGGUAUGGCCAAAGAAGACCUGGAACAGGCCAGAGCUAACACAUGGAGCUGCAUAUUGUGCCCUUAAAUUGUUUAAUUAAAACAAACUUUUUUCUUUUUCCUUUUUUUUUUUUGAAGUGUGCAGUUGUUCUUUUAAAUUGUUAUUAAUAGUUGUAAAUGGUAAAAUGUUUUGAUUAAAUUGAGUAUAAACACUGUUUUGUGAAAAAUGUGAAAGAAAAGUCUAAAUUAUUAUAACAUUAAACAUUUUUAUGUGUGAAAUUCAA